GUGUGCUUGCUUCACAUAUACUAAAAUUGGAACAAUUCAGAGAUUAUCAUGGCCCCCCCAAAAGGAGAAAAAAAUGAUGGGGCAAAGAGAUAUUUAUUU
rnacentral:snRNA from 1 species